rnacentral:rRNA from 1 species
UACGUAGGGUGCAAGCGUUAAUCGGAAUUACUGGGCGUAAAGCGUGCGCAGGCGGUUUUGUAAGUCUGUCGUGAAAUCCCCGGGCUCAACCUGGGAAUUGCGAUGGAGACUGCAAGGCUAGAAUCUGGCAGAGGGGGGUAGAAUUCCACGUGUAGCAGUGAAAUGCGUAGAGAUGUGGAGGAACACCGAUGGCGAAGGCAGCCCCCUGGGUCAAGAUUGACGCUCGUGCACGAAAGCGUGGGGAGCAAACAGGG